GGAUAGCUCAGCUAGUUACAGCAUGGUGCUGAUAACACCAAGGUCGCAGGUUCCAUCCCUGUAUGGGACA
rnacentral:tRNA from 1 species